GGAGGGUCAUUGGAAACUGGGGAACUUGAGUGCAGAAGAGGAGAGUGGAAUUCCACGUGUAGCGGUGAAAUGCGUAGAGAUGUGGAGGAACACCAGUGGCGAAGGCGACUCUCUGGUCUGUAACUGACGCUGAGGAGCGAAAGCGUGGGGAGCGAACAGGAUUAGAUACCCUGGUAGUCCACGCCGUAAACGAUGAGUGCUAAGUGUUAGGGGGUUUCCGCCCCUUAGUGCUGCAGCUAACGCAUUAAGCACUCCGCCUGGGGAGUACGGUCGCAAGACUGAAACUCAAAGGAAUUGACGGGGGCCCGCACAAGCGGUGGAGCAUGUGGUUUAAUUCGAAGCAACGCGAAGAACCUUACCAGGUCUUGACAUCCUCUGACAAUCCUAGAGAUAGGACGUCCCCUUCGGGGGCAGAGUGACAGGUGGUGCAUGGUUGUCGUCAGCUCGUGUCGUGAGAUGUUGGGUUAAGUCCCGCAACGAGCGCAACCCUUGAUCUUAGUUGCCAGCAUUCAGUUGGGCACUCUAAGGUGACUGCCGGUGACAAACCGGAGGAAGGUGGGGAUGACGUCAAAUCAUCAUGCCCCUUAUGACCUGGGCUACACACGUGCUACAAUGGACAGAACAAAGGGCAGCGAAACCGCGAGGUUAAGCCAAUCCCACAAAUCUGUUCUCAGUUCGGAUCGCAGUCUGCAACUCGACUGCGUGAAGCUGGAAUCGCUAGUAAUCGCGGAUCAGCAUGCCGCGGUGAAUACGUUCCCG
rnacentral:rRNA from 1 species